UCUGUGUCAGCGUCGGCUUAUAAACUAUCACUGCGCGUAAUAAGCAGUGGCUUGGAGGAUUGCCAGCUAACGCGGGCCGUGUGGUGUGAGAUGGCGGUGGCGGCGGCAGCGGCGUUAGACAGCGAUGGCUUCUUCUUAAUGUAGCUUAGACGGCGGUGGCGGUGGCGGCGGCGGCGGCGAUGACGCUGUGCUCACGGUCGCAUUGCCGGUUGCCAGGCGUGAGUUUGUGGGUUUGUUCCACCAGCACCACCACCAAAUGUUGUGGAGUGCUGUUGACGGUGUCGGUGGUGGAGCGCCGCUUGGCUUGGCAACGAUGAGUCCACAAGCCGUGGCUUAGUGUUGGUGUGUGCACGUAAUGUGGGCUCUAGACGGCAGGCAGGCAGGCAGGCGGGCAGGCGACGUGAUGCUGGUUGUGGUCGUCGUUCUUGCUGCUGCUGCUGCUGCAGCUGCUUUGAUGUGGUCUAAUGUGUGCCUGACCUCGA
rnacentral:rRNA from 1 species